rnacentral:rRNA from 1 species
UACAGAGGGUGCGAGCGUUAAUCGGAAUUACUGGGCGUAAAGCGCACGUAGGCGGCGUGAUAAGUUGGAUGUGAAAUCCCCGAGCUUAACUUGGGAAUUGCAUUCAAGACUGUCUCGCUAGAGUCUGGGAGAGAGAAGUGGAAUUCCAGGUGUAGCGGUGAAAUGCGUAGAUAUCUGGAGGAACAUCAGUGGCGAAGGCGGCUUCUUGGCCCAACACUGACGCUGAGGUGCGAAAGCGUGGGGAUCAAACAGG